rnacentral:lncRNA from 1 species
AACGGUCUAGCGAAUUAUGGUGGAAAGGUUAAAUUCUAUUUUAUUUAUGAAUCAUAUUUUUCGUAUAGUUGCAUGUCGAUCUUUGCUUUGAAUUGCUACAUGUUCUGUAGUUUUGACAAGGUAACUUAACUUGCUUUUGUUAAUUAUUGAUUUGCCUUUUUGUGUGUUCGAUACUAACCAUGGCAGCAGCUAUAGACAAAUACA